rnacentral:rRNA from 1 species
CCUACGGGAGGCAGCAGUGAGGAAUAUUGGGCAAUGGCCGAAAGGCUGACCCAGCAACGCCGCGUGAGGGAUGAAGCUCUAAGGAGCGUAAACCUCUUUCGGGAGGGAAGAACUUCUCCAAAGUUAAUAAUUUUGGGAUUGACGGUACCUCCAAAGGAAGCACCGGCUAACUCCGUGCCAGCAGCCGCGGUAAU